UAACGUGGCGCGCCGCGCGCUAGGGUUUUAGGGCUUCUUCCCUCACCAAUAAUAUCCCUAUAAAAAUACGAAAUUGGUGACCAAAUCAGCAAUCGCAGCCGCGGCCCAGUUUUCUCUCAGUUUUCAGAAGCCAAAUUUUGUAUAACCAUGUUUUUCUAAACGUUUUCAAAACCUGCAAAUGUUUUCGAAUCUAUGAAUUGUUUUCUGUUGAUUCGUUUGAAAUCUAUGAAUUGCUUUUUGUUGAUUCAUUCGGUGCAUGUGGUGUUGUUUUUGGAUUGAGUUUUUGAAAAAAUGGGGUGUUUGGUUGCGGUGAUUAUAAAAAUUCCUCGUUCUGAAUUUGCCAUAGCCAUGGCUUGACAGACACCUAUACACCCAUAGAAUAUGAGCAACCAUUCAUUCUCCCAUUAACUUCAAUUUUUAUUUAUUUUUUUAUUUUUUGUAUAUUGGCUGUGAUUUUCUCAGUCGUUCUGCAAUUUUUGGUACCGUUUCGGGAAGCAGCUUGAGAAAUACUCUAGCGCUCCUUCUCAAGCCGCUCCCCGGCAACGGUGCCAAAAAUUGCAGAACCAUAACUGUGUUUAAGAUCCAGGCUUUUUGGUUUAGCGUUUAGGGUUUAAGGUUUAUAAAGGUUUAUAGGAAUUAUAAUUAGAGGAGUUGGUUAUUGUAUAUACACAGAGCAUUUUUGCUAAUAGUGUUUUCUGUGAUUAGACAUACUCCUAAAUUGGAUCUAGGUGGUGUUUAAAGCCCUAAUUGACACGAAAAAAACAUCCAGAAUGUGGGGUUACGCACACCUCCACAUUAGCUUCAACUCAUAAAAACACGUAUGGUUGUGGUUAGAAAUAGCUUCUUCGUUGGAAAUUUUUUUUCUGUGGCGAGAAUACGGUCCAAUAUAAAUGUCAUGAUACAAUCAGUUUCCGUACAAUUGCCCUAUCGUCUCGUUUUUGUUAUGGAGGAAUGAAAUCCCUAAGAAGGGAUUGGUAAAAUGCAAGUGAAUUGAAUUGGAUGAGUAGAGUUGAUUUUUGACAGAGAGCAGUGAUGAGCAGCUAACACUCCGAGAGGCAACAACUUCCUGGAUCUUCCUGCCCUAUUUAGGCAUCAUUCCCCAUCCAUGGUUCUACAACUGUGCAUAGACCAGUGUUUUUGGGUAAACAGUUUACGGGUCUGGUCACUGCGACCCCAAAGUUACGAGGUAUUUUUGCCCGAGUUCCAAGUUUUGUUCGAAUUGUGGAAGACGAGGAAGAUGGAUUAAAGGACAUGUUCAAGUGAUAUAUAUAUAUAUAUAUGUAUGUAUGUAUGUAUGUAUGUAUAUAUGUAUGUAUGUAUGGUGACAUUGAAGGGUACCAAGUUUUGUACUUUGUAUUUGAAAAGAUUUAACAGAAAUGAAGAACUUGGUUAGUUUCUAA